AUUUAUAUAAUAUAAAAAUUAUUUUUAACUUCCAAUUAAAAUAUCUAAGUUAAUCUUAGUAUAAAUA
rnacentral:tRNA from 1 species